UACGUAGGGAGCAAGCGUUGUUCGGAUUUACUGGGCGUAAAGGGCGCGUAGGCGGCAACUCAAGUCAGCUGUGGAAUCUCCGAGCUUAACUCGGAACGGUCAGCUGAUACUGUUUUGCUAGAGUGCAGAAGGGGCAAUCGGAAUUCUUGGUGUAGCGGUGAAAUGCGUAGAUAUCAAGAGGAACACCUGAGGUGAAGACGGGUUGCUAGGCUGACACUGACGCUGAGGCGCGAAAGCCAGGGGAGCGAACGGG
rnacentral:rRNA from 1 species